AAGCUCGUAGUUGAAUUUCGGGGUUAGUAGGUUGGUCAUGCCUCUGGUAUGUACUGGUCUCACUGAUUCCUCCUUCCUUAUGAACCGUAAUGCCAUUAAUUUGGUGUUGCGGGGAAUUUGGACUGUUACUUUGAAAAAAAUUAGAGUGUUUAAAGCAAGCUAACGCUUGAAUACAUUAGCAUGGAAUAAUGAAAUAGGACGUUCGAUCUUAUUUUUGUUUGGUUUUCUUAGGAUUGACGUAAUGAUUAAUAGGGAUAGUUGGGU
rnacentral:rRNA from 1 species